GUUGAACGCUGCCGGAAUGCUUAACACAUCAGCGAUUGACUGGUGGCGGACGGGUGAGUAACGCGUAAAGAACUUGCCUCGCCGCUAGGGACAACAUUUGGAAACGAAUGCUAAUACCUAAUACUGUGGGAGGGCUUUGCGUCCCAGUAGCUAGUUGGAGAGGUAACGGAUCACGAAGGCGAUGAUGGGUAGCCGGCCUGAGAGGGUGAUCGGGCACAGGGGGACUGGGACACGGGCAUUAGGGCUACGUGAGGCAGGAGUGGAGAACAGUGAACAAUGGACCAAAGUCUGAUCCAGGAAUUCGGGGUGCACGAUGAAGUUUUCGGAAUGAAAAGUGCUUUCAGUUGAGAAGCGGUACCAGCAGAAGAAGUGACGGCUAAAUACGUGCCAGCAGCCGCGGUAAUAC
rnacentral:rRNA from 1 species